AUACCAGACUCCUACGGAGGCAGCAGUGGGGAAUAUUGCACAAUGGGGGAAACCCUGAUGCAGCGACGCCGCGUGAGUGAAGAAGUAUUUCGGUAUGUAAAGCUCUAUCAGCAGGGAAGAAAGGAAUGACGGUACCUGACUAAGAAGCCCCGGCUAACUACGUGCCAGCAGCCGCGGUAAUACGUAGGGGGCGAGCGUUAUCCGGAUUUACUGGGUGUAAAGGGAGCGUAGACGGUUUUUCAAGUCUGAAGUGAAAGCCCGCGGCUCAACUGCGGAACGGCUUUGGAAACUGAGGGACUAGAGUGCUGGAGGGGCAGGCGGAAUUCCUGGUGUAGCGGUGAAAUGCGUAGAUAUCAGGAGGAACACCGGCGGCGAAGGCGGCCUGCUGGACCGCGACUGACGUUGAGGCUCGAAAGCGUGGGGAGCGAACAGGAUUAGAUACCCCCGUAC
rnacentral:rRNA from 1 species